UUUGGUUUUCUCUUUUUUUU
rnacentral:sRNA from 1 species